ensembl:lncRNA
GUGAGCCUGAAAGCAGAUUUUUUUUUCAUCCCCUUUAGCCUUUAUUUGAUGCAAGGUAAUGUCUUCAGGCAAAGCGCUGGUGGCGAUCAGCUGAUCUUCGGCCACAGGAGAGAGGACUCUGUAGUGGGGCUGUCCGACUUUGAAGCCUGACUCUGCCGUGUAACCUUGAGAAAAGCUGACUUGCCCUCUUCUGGGUCUUUUUCCUUGCUAUAAGAUGAGGGUUGUAGAUCUCACUUCUUGAGGUUGUUCUAAAGACUAAGUGAGUGGAUUGUAAGAGCUUACAGCAAUGGCUGACACCGGAAGCGUCAAGCCGAUGGAGUGACGUCUACUAGAGCAUCCUUCUAGAUGGCCUCUCCUACAGAGGGACAGCAAGGUUGUUUCCAAAAUUGCAGCCAUUCUAAAUGAUCUGUAGCAAGUCACUUGCUAUAUGCAUGAGGGGAAGAAAGAUGAAUUUGUAUCUUAUUGGGAAAUGACCAGACAUCAAGAAGAUAUGCUAUUCAUAAUUGAUUUAAAAGCAUAGAGUAAGUGUGGCAGGAGAACUCUUUCUGUGGGACAGGAUAUCAUGUAACCCAGCCUGGCCUCAAACUUACUAUGUAACCAAGCCUCACCUUGAACUCCUGAUCUUCCUGACUCCGCUCCCAAGUCUGGGAUUAUAAAGCUAAACUGACACACCCCACUCAAAACUUCACUUCUUGACAGGGCAGUGUUUAUCGCAGUUGAUAUUUACUGACCUCAGUGGGCCCAGAAAGCAUCUAGGCUAAGGGACGCAAAGACAAAUGGGAAAAGAAGCUUCUGUAGGUUUACAAAAACGUUACCAUUAUUGCCUCUGGGAGGACAUUUUUGUGUAGAAGUUAUGUCUGGUUCUUCCUCCCAUCCCCAUGCUUGCAGAAAUAAGACUCAGAUUCAAAAUAUAUUUACAAAUACCUUGGCUAGGCUCUCCUCUGACUAGAUCAUAACUUAACCCAUUUAUUCUCAUCCACAUCCUGUCAUGUGGCUGGUUACCUGUGCUCAGGUACUAAGCAUCUGUCUCCUCGCAUCUUCCCAGGUGAUCUCCCAAGCCUCGGGCUAUCACAGAAUCCUUUCUGUCUACAGAAUGUCUAGACAGACGCCGUCUAUCCUACCCUUUCCUAUAGGCCAUAGGUUUUGGGUUUUUUUUUUUUUUAUUGACCAAUGGUGCAUCCAUACAAUACAUAAGAUAUUCUCUCUACAUUUUUGCUUGUUUGUUUUUCUUUUUUCUUUUUUCUUUUUUUUUCGGAGAUGGGGACCGAACCCAGGGCCUUGAGCUUGCUAGGCAAGUGCUCUACCACUGAGCUAAAUCCCCACCCCCCUCUACAUUUUUGUAAUGAGAUAUUUCUGCAUGUCACCCAGGUGAACAGAGACCACAAAAAUGUCCAAGGGUGACCAACCAAUACAGCAGGGAGUACAAGUGACGUUGAUUCUUCUUCACACUCUCCUCUGGGAACCUUGAUCAGCAAACACUUGAGAGGACUGAUGUGAACAGAAGUACAGCAUGUGUAAAGCACACGUACGACCAUGUGCUUUACGAUGAGCACUGUAAACCUAACAGCUGCCGUAUGCAUGCCAGGCACUGCGCUAAGCCCUUUGCAAACACCACCGGCCGGAUCCUUACCAGAUGAGUGUUACCAACUGGAUUGUUUAUGCUUUACAGCUAAGGGAGCAGGGAGGUCAGCAGCAGCAUUGGGAGCACACACAAGUGUCGAAGUUGGAUUUGUAACCAAGACAUCAGACUGAUUUCAGUGAGCCGAUGGCAAGAGGUGAAUUCCGAGAGUCUCGCCAAUCACUGCUUAUCCCCACGAACUUUAUACAUCUCUCUGAAAAGAAGAAAAGAGCUUAGUUUUACAAAAUCCACACCUUACACAGUAUCAGUGGUGUGUGCAGCUGGUGAGCUCUCCUGUGAGAAGCUGACUGGGUCAGCGAAGGUCACCUCCAGAGUUUCUGACUCCUCUCAGAGAAGAUCCUCCACACUGUGAAGAGUCAG